UUAUUUUAUUUUAUUUUAUUUUAUUUUAUUUUAUUUUAUUUUAUUUUAUUUUAUUUUAUUUUAAUUUCUUUUUUUUUUUUUUUAUGUGAAGCCUUUUAAUAAGUCUUCCAAUAUGCUUCAGAAAUCAUAUAAAACUAGAAUCCACAUUAUCACGUCAAAUAUGGUAACAUACUUGGAUAUUCUGUAAUGUCACCAUCAUGGAAGGUCUACUAAAAUGACUAAGGGACUGGAGCAUCUGACAUACCAGGAUAGGCAAUGAGGGCUGGGAGUGUUCAACGUAUUGAAGAGAAGGCUAAUGGGAAUCUCAGGAAUAUCUAUAAAUUCCUGAUGGGCGGGUUUACAGAAGAUGCAUUCAGACUCAGUGGUGUCCAGUGAUGGGAUAAGAGGCAAUGGGCAAGAGGCAAAAUAAAAAUUGUGAAAUUUCAUUUAAACACAAAUUUAAUUUUUUUGUUUGUUUGUUUGUUUCUUUGUUUUUCUGUGAGCAUGGUCUAGCACUGGAAAAUGUUGCCCAGAGAUCUUAAACUGUUACCAAGUUUAAAUGGACAACCUGCGCUAGAUGAUCCUGCUUUGAGCAAUGAGGGAUUGACUUGAUGAUCUCCAGAGGUUCCUACGAACUCAACGUUUGUGUUAUAAAUAGCAAAAGGACAGUUUCCAUUGCACUUAAAAACCCAGGCUCAUGCUGUGGAAACAAAGAAUAAGGGAGAUCCCCUUACCACCUUUUCCAGAAAAUGGCUGGAGUAAUACAUCUGUACCAAGAACCUUUGAAAUGCGCAUUAUAGAUUACAGAAACUAAAAGAUGUUCAGCAAAAUAAUGCACUUAAAACUAGAAAAGUAAUUGGUUACUACUGUGAAGAAACAAAACUAAUAACAAAAUAUGCUGGUUUACAGUAAAACCCAUAUGAAACUUCCUUGUUUAGGAAGCUGCCUUGCUUUGGAAUUUAUUUAGACAGAUAAGUUGAAGAUGGAACUAAGACAUUUAAAUGGAAGAUAGUUUUACAGAAGGACAUUGCAUUUAAAUACAACAACAUUUGAUUUGGUGGUGGGAUUAAGGAAGGAGUACAUCAGCGUUGAGAUUAUGAAGCAGUGGGUGCCAUGGAGAUGAACACACUAGAACAGAAUUUCCAUACCAUGAAUAGUUGUGAGAUUUCAUGGCUGUGAAUUCCUUUCCAGUAAUAAACACAACUGUGAAAUGUGAGAAUUUUCCAUAGAAUUGAUUUUCAAAUUCUCUGCCAGCCUUGUCAUGGGUUUUUAAGGCUUAUUAGACAAACGUGUCUAGUUGUAUUGUCAGCCUGGAGAAAAACAAAGAUAAAAUUUUCAGCCUCAUAAUAUUACUUGACUGCAUGCCUCUUUGGGCCUGUGGAUGGAGCAUUUGUUUGCUUAAAAUUUUCAGAGUACCUAUUUCAUACGAAAAGUGAGGGUGGAUUUUGGCAUCACUGCAGGUUCUUUUUCCAGAACCUUUUGGCCUUUUUCAAGUGUCUGGGCUCUAACUCAAAGUUACUAACCACAUCUGGCAUCUGGAGCACAGAAAGUUCAAGGCAGGAUGUCUCAACAGCCUGCAAAGAGUUCCAAAAAUUUAGAGAGAUGUUUACAGCUACAGAGGAUGAAAUGAAUUAUUAACUCAGGAUGACUCCUGGAAGAUAUCAUAUUUGUAUUUGGAAGAUGGAAGAUUAAAAAAAAAUGUUGCCUCUGGCACUUGACAGUUACCAAGUUCAGUGGUCCCAUGAAAAAGCACUGCCAUACAGAGAGAAGUUGGCAGAGUCCAACCUUCCAUGCUGACAGCUGUCGGUAAGAUAAUACUGCCUCCUGGAUCAAAUGAAAACAUAAGUAUCAGCUUUUUGCCAGAAUCACAGCAAAAGAAGAAGGAUAUGGGAAAAAUAAAUACUACAAUGGGUUCUGCUGCUGCUAACAAUUGUCCAUCCAGUCACAGAGAAUAAGCCUUAAAGCCCAUUAAUCUGUGAGUGACCUGACUCAGAGUUCACUGGAACCCAGGGGAAUCUUCCAAUGGUUUCAUUGAUAACUGUACUACAUUCAGCAUUUAACAGACAUCAGGAAAAGAAAGCAAUUUUUCUCACAGGCCUUAAUGGAGAUGCUGUUAGAAAAUGUAGAACUUUAAUGAUGACAUGUCAACAUAAUUCCUAAAAUGGGAUAUGAAGAGACAUACAAAGCAAAAAAGAAGUCAAGUGAAACUUGAGUGAAACACAGUCUAAAGCAGAAGGAACAACUUGUCUAGAAUAACUCCUGUUUGCUUCAUUGGCAGUAUGUGAAAUAGCCAGCAAAUUCUGUGAUGCCUCCUUCUUAUAUUCUUGGCUUGUCACAAAAGCAGUGUGUGAACUGGGUUCCUGGAAAUAAUUUUUGGGGCUUCAGAAGAAAAAAAUUUAUUUGUUUUGAAAUGUUUUGGUAUGAUAUUUUGUCUUUUGUGUGUGUGUGUGUGUGUGUAUGUAUGUGUGUGUGUGUGUGUGUGAUUAAAAAGUAUUGAUUAACUUAAGAAGAGAACUGAAAAUUUGUCAUUCUGGAGCAAUAUGUGGCUGCAGUCCUCUGGGAUGAGAUCUGAGGGCUUUCACACAGGACCUGGCAGUGCUGGGUACAAGAACCUAACAGAAAUGAAAGAGACUUGAAGUCUUAUUAGCCCAAGUUUCUUCUCAAAUAUGCCCUUAUGCUUCCUCACAUGAGAAGUGAGAAGCUUUGUAAUGGAACUAAAUUACAGAAUUUAAGCAGAAAAGCAUCAGGUCUGAAUUUUAGCACGUAGAUAUUGCUCUGGGAUACACUGACUAUGCACAGUGAAAAUUAUCUUCAGAAGAGUCAGUGAAUGGCAGUCUCCACUUUAAAAUGCAUCCCAAGCACCUUGAUUCAUAAGGUAAUUUAUUACUAGAAGUCAUAUUAAAAGGUGCUUUCUGGCAGAGCCAAAUACAAAACAGAUAUAGACCAGGUGCAAAUAUGGGAAAUGUUACAAAGAGAAACUUUUCAGAGCUUCCUGUUCUCUGAGAUCUGAAAGAACAAGCUGUAACGCCAACACCUGCCUGGUGCUCUGUGUGUCAUCUCAGCAAAUUUCCCAUCUGUUAAGCACUGAAGCAGAGAAAAAGCUGUUUCAGGCCUGCAACAAUGUUUACAGGACUGCUUAGCAGUUUCAUAUUGUAAAAAGACAUUAAUCCAGAAUGUAAUGUUCAGAUACAUACAUGAGAUUUGUCAAACAUUUCUUAGUAUCUUAAAUAAAUAAAUGUUUAGUUUAAUCAUGGUAUCAGUCUUAGUAUUAUUAUAAAGGCACAGAAUAUUGCAAACAUUAAAAUGGGUAACAAUUUCUUUCAUUUUAGGAUAGGUUAGACAGAUUAGUAGCACUAAACAAACCAACAAACAAAACAAAAACAAUCAACUAACCAAACAACACAACAACCAACCCAGAAGUCUAAGAAGUCACCACCACGAGGUUUUCUUCCUGGUAGAACUUUGGUGAGACUCCCCCAAGUGGGAGCUCCAUACUGCUGUUACACCUCAGUCACUGAUUGUUGUGGGAAGAGAAAGGAAUUGGCCUAACAGUGAAAUUCCCAUUUAAAAACUGAUAUAUUUUCUAGGCAGAAUUCACAGGAACCUGGAAAUGCUUAUUGUGAAAACAGCACCCCUCUUUGGGAAGUUUUAGGGACUUUCAAACUUAGUGUAGGUUCUAAGGGUUUUGCUCAAACUUCAUUAAGAUUUCCUGUGGUUUCUUAGCAGACUUUGGUUUUGCUUCAGCAAAAUAUACCAAAUAUUCAGUGAGAACGCCACUCAGCUGGCAUACCUAGCUAAUUUUGCUGGGAACAAAAACGUUAGAACUAUCUGCGAUAAUAGAUAGAACAGAUAGAAUAUUCCCUGCCCUUCCUCCCCCUGCUCUCCCCCAGAAAAAAAAAAAAAAAAAAAAAA